rnacentral:rRNA from 1 species
GAAGGGCACCACCAGGAGUGGAGCCUGCGCUUAAUUUGACUCAACACGGGGAACCUCACCCGGCCCGGACACCGCGAGAUUGACAGACUGAGAGCUCUUUCUCGAUUCGGUGGGUGGUGGUGCAUGGCCGUUCUUAGUUGGUGGAGCGAUCUGUCUGGUUAAUUCCGAUAACGAACGAGACCCCAACCUGCUAACUAGCCCUCGGGUCUAGCUUCUCCUGCCGGGCCCGACGAACUGAUUCGCUUCUUAGAGGGACUGCGCGGCCCUAGCCGCACGAAGGGGGGCGAUAACAGGUCUGUGAUGCCCUUAGAUGUUCGGGGCUGCACGCGCGCUACACUGAAGGCAUCAGGUGCGCUUUGUCGGUUCCCUGCCUGAAAAGGCUGGGUAACCCGCUGAACCGCCUUCGUGCCUGGGAUAGGGAUUUGCAAUUAUCUCCCUUGAACGAGGAAUUCCCAGUAGGCGCGAGUCAUCAGCUCGCGUCGAUUACGUCCCUGCCCUUUGUACACACCGCCCGUCGCU